rnacentral:rRNA from 1 species
CAAGUCGAACGAGCACGAUUUCCUUCGGGAUGAUGUGCUGAGUGGCGGACGGGUGAGUAACGCGUGGGUACCUGCCUUGUACAGGGGGAUAACAGUUGGAAACGGCUGCUAAUACCGCAUAAGAUUGCAUGAUAAAAACUCCGGUGGUAUAAGAUGGACCCGCGUUGGAUUAGCUAGUUGGUGAGGUAACGGCCCACCAAGGCGACGAUCCAUAGCCGACCUGAGAGGGUGACCGGCCACAUUGGGACUGAGACACGGCCCAAACUCCUACGGGAGGCAGCAGUGGGGAAUACUGCACAAUGGGCGAAAGCCUGAUGCAGCGACGCCGCGUGAGCGAAGAAGUAUUUCGGUAUGUAAAGCUCUAUCAGCAGGGAAGAUAAUGACGGUACCUGACUAAGGAGCACCGGCUAAAUACGUGCCAGCAGCCGCGGUAAUACGUAUGGUGCAAGCGUUAUCCGGAUUUACUGGGUGUAAAGGGAGCGCAGGCGGUGCGGCAAGUCUGAUGUGAAAGCCCGGGGCUCAACCCCGGUACUGCAUUGGAA